UACGGAGGGUGCGAGCGUUGUCCGGAAUCAUUGGGCGUAAAGGGCGCGUAGGUGGCCCGGUCAGUUCGUGGUGAAAGCGCGGGGCUCAACCCUGCGUCGGCCAUGAAUACUGCCGCGGCUGGAGCACUGUAGAGGCAGGCGGAAUUCCGGGUGUAGCGGUGGAAUGCGUAGAGAUCCGGAAGAACACCGGUGGCGAAGGCGGCGACCUGGUCCGAUACUGACGCUGAGGCGCGAAAGCGUGGGGAGCAACAGG
rnacentral:rRNA from 1 species